rnacentral:rRNA from 1 species
UCCAGACUCCUACGGGAGGCAGCAGUGGGGAAUAUUGCACAAUGGGGGAAACCCUGAUGCAGCGACGCCGCGUGAGUGAAGAAGUAUUUCGGUAUGUAAAGCUCUAUCAGCAGGGAAGAUAAUGACGGUACCUGACUAAGAAGCCCCGGCUAACUACGUGCCAGCAGCCGCGGUAAUACGUAGGGGGCAAGCGUUAUCCGGAUUUACUGGGUGUAAAGGGUGCGCAGGUGGCAGGGCAAGUCAGAUGUGAAAGCCCGGGGCUCAACCCCGGUAUUGCAUUUGAAACUGUCCGGCUAGAGUGCAGGAGAGGUAAGCGGAAUUCCUAGUGUAGCGGUGAAAUGCGUAGAUAUUAGGAGGAACACCAGUGGCGAAGGCGGCUUACUGGACUGUAACUGACACUGAGGCACGAAAGCGUGGGGAGCAAACAGGAUUAGAUACCCCAGUAGGA